AGAAUGAACGCUGGCGGCGUGCUUUACACAUGCAAGUUGAGCGAGGCCGGUAGCAAUACCGAGUCGAGCGGCGAACGGGUGAGUAACGCGUGGAUAACCUGCCCUGAGGUGGGGAAUAACCCGGGGAAACUCGGGCUAAUACCGCAUGAUACCGAGAGGUCAAAGAGGGCUCGCAAGGGCUCUUGCCACAGGAGGGGUCCGCGUUCGAUUAGCUAGUUGGUAGGGUAAUGGCCUACCAAGGCGACGAUCGAUAGCCGGCCUGAGAGGGUGAUCGGCCACACUGGAACUGAGACACGGUCCAGACUCCUACGGGAGGCAGCAGUGGGGAAUUUGCGCAAUGGGCUAACGCCUGACGCAGCAACGCCGCGUGGAGGAUGAAGGUCUUUGGAUUGUAAACUCCUGUCAGCAGGAAAAGGAUAGGACCUAAUACGUCUUAAACUUGAUUGUACCUGCAGAGGAAGCCCCGGCUAACUCUGUGCCAGCAGCCGCGGUAAUCUGA
rnacentral:rRNA from 1 species